rnacentral:rRNA from 1 species
GAUGAACGCUGGCGGCGUGCCUAAUUCAUGCAAGUCGAGCGAACAGACGAGGAGCUUGCUCCUCUGACGUUAGCGGCGGACGGGUGAGUAACACGUGGAUAACCUACCUAUAAGACUGGGAUAACUUCGGGAAACCGGAGCUAAUACCGGAUAAUAUAUUGAACCGCAUGGUUCAAUAGUGAAAGACGGUUUUGCUGUCACUUAUAGAUGGAUCCGCGCCGCAUUAGCUAGUUGGUAAGGUAACGGCUUACCAAGGCGACGAUGCGUAGCCGACCUGAGAGGGUGAUCGGCCACACUGGAACUGAGACACGGUCCAGACUCCUACGGGAGGCAGCAGUAGGGAAUCUUCCGCAAUGGGCGAAAGCCUGACGGAGCAACGCCGCGUGAGUGAUGAAGGUCUUCGGAUCGUAAAACUCUGUUAUUAGGGAAGAACAAAUGUGUAAGUAACUAUGCACGUCUUGACGGUACCUAAUCAGAAAGCCACGGCUAACUACGUG